rnacentral:rRNA from 1 species
UACGUAGGGUGCAAGCGUUGUCCGGAAUUAUUGGGCGUAAAGAGCUCGUAGGCGGUUUGUCGCGUCUGCUGUGAAAACUCGGGGCUUAACCCCGGGCCUGCAGUGGGUACGGGCAGACUAGAGUGCGGUAGGGGAGACUGGAAUUCCUGGUGUAGCGGUGAAAUGCGCAGAUAUCAGGAGGAACACCGGUGGCGAAGGCGGGUCUCUGGACUAUUACUGACGCUAAGCUGCGAAAGCUAGGGGAGCAAACAGG